rnacentral:rRNA from 1 species
UGCGUAGGCGGAAGAUUAAGUCAGUGAUGAAAUCCUGCAGCUCAACUGUAGAACUGUCAUUGAUACUGAUUUUCUUGAAUUCAGUUGAGGUAGGCGGAAUGUGUAAUGUAGCGGUGAAAUGCUUAGAUAUUACACAGAACACCAAUUGCGAAGGCAGCUUACUAAACUGUGAUUGACGCUGAGGCACGAAAGCGUGGGGAGCGAACAGGAUUAGAUACCCUGGUAGUCC